rnacentral:rRNA from 1 species
ACGUUAGCGGCGGACGGGUGAGUAACACGUGGGUAACCUACCUAUAAGACUGGGAUAACUUCGGGAAACCGGAGCUAAUACCGGAUAAUAUUUCGAACCGCAUGGUUCGAUAGUGAAAGAUGGUUUUGCUAUCACUUAUAGAUGGACCCGCGCCGUAUUAGCUAGUUGGUAAGGUAACGGCUUACCAAGGCGACGAUACGUAGCCGACCUGAGAGGGUGAUCGGCCACACUGGAACUGAGACACGGUCCAGACUCCUACGGGAGGCAGCAGUA